rnacentral:rRNA from 1 species
UGUUGGCUUAGAAGCAGCAACCAUUUAAAGAGUGCGUAAUAGCUCACUAGUCGAGUGACCCUGCGCCGAAAAUGUACCGGGGCUAAACAUAUUACCGAAGCUGUGGACUACACCAUUAGGUGUAGUGGUAGGAGAGCGUUCUAAGGGCGUUGAAGGUCGAUCGUGAGGACGGCUGGAGCGCUUAGAAGUGAGAAUGCCGGUAUGAGUAGCGAAAGACAGGUGAGAAUCCUGUCCACCGUAUGACUAAGGUUUCCUGGGGAAGGCUCGUCCGCCCAGGGUUAGUCGGGACCUAAGCCGAGGCCGAUAGGCGUAGGCGAUGGACAACAGGUUGAUAUUCCUGUACCAGUUGUUUUUGUUUGAGCAAUGGAGGGACGCAGUAGGCUAAGGAAUGCAUGCGAUUGGAAGUGCAUGUCCAAGCAAUGAGUCUUGAGUAGAGUUAAAUGCUUUACUCUUUAAGGACAAGUUGUGACGGGGAGCGAAAUAAUAGUAGCGAAGUUCCUGAUGUCACACUGCCAAGAAAAGCUUCUAGUGAGAAAACAACUGCCCGUACCGUAAACCGACACAGGUAGUCGAGGAGAGUAUCCUAAGGUGAGCGAGCGAACUCUCGUUAAGGAACUCGGCAAAAUGACCCCGUAACUUCGGGAGAAGGGGUGCUGACGACCGUCAGCCGCAGUGAAUAGGCCCAAGCGACUGUUUAUCAAAAACACAGGUCUCUGCAAAAUCGUAAGAUGAAGUAUAGGGGCUGACGCCUGCCCGGUGCUGGAAGGUUAAGAGGAUGGGUUAGCUUCGGCGAAGCUCAGAAUUGAAGCCCCAGUAAACGGCGG